CGGAGGGUGCAAGCGUUAUCCGGAUUCACUGGGUUUAAAGGGUGCGUAGGUUGAUAGGUAAGUCAGUGGUGAAAUACUCCGACUCAAUCGGAGAACUGCCGUUGAUACUAUCUAUCUUGAAUACGGUGGAGGCGGGCAGAAUGCGUCAUGUAGUGGUGAAAUACUUAGAUAUGACGCAGAAUACCCAUUGCGAAGGCAGCUCGCUACGCCGGCAUUGACACUGAGGCACGAAAGCGUGGGGAUCAAACAGGAUUAGAUACCCGGGUAGUCCACGCCCUAAACGAUGUUCACUCGAUCUCAGCGAUAUACUGUUGGGGUCUAUGCAAAAGCAUUAAGUGAACCACCUGGGGAGUACGAUCGCAAGAUUG
rnacentral:rRNA from 1 species